CCUUUCUCUAGGAAGAGUGAGAAACAGCAACGCGUGUGUCUGGCAACACUGGGGGACGCGAUCCACAAUGCUCACUGGGGCGCCAUCCAUUUCCUAGGAAUCUUGCCAAAUCCCUGUCUAUUCCCCAAGGUUCCUGGCACGGGGGGACGGAGCCAGGAUGGAGCUGAAGCGCUGGAGUCAGCAUUUGCCAGGCAGCUCCGGCACAUGGGUGCAGGAGGAAGCUGUGCCUGUAAGGGGCUCAGAAGCAGUGUGGAUUUCUGGUCAUCCCUGCUGCCUCAGGGCGGGGAGUGGUGGCCGGAGCUCUGCCCGUGACAGCAUUGGCAGAGUGCUCAGCGGCACUCAGAACAGCAUGCAAUCCUGCAAUCUCACGGGGCCUCGGGACCAGCACCCUGAGCUCCCAGAGGAGCCUGCCCUGUACCUGCACUUAGCUACUUUGUUACUUCUGCGCUGGCCUUGGACAAAACUCCAGCCCUUUCCCCCAGGCCCCGGAAGGCUGCUGCUCACCAGGCAGCCAGCGUGGCUCUACCGCCACCCUGGAAGAGGCAUCCCACUCGGUCACAUCCGCUUGUCACUCAACAGCUAUGACAACUGAUUACAAACGGUCAUCUUCAAUGCCUGUAACUGUAAACCGCCAAGAUUGUCAAGUUCUUCAAGAUUUCCUGACUUAACAUUCACAGAACACCCUCUUCAUUUUAGGCAUGGAAAUAUAGGGUCUCAGCUCCGCGUCUUGAAGCAAGCGGAAAUGCAGGAUGGAAAACACAAGAAAGAACACCAAGUAAAAAGGAUAAAGACAAAAUGGGAGUCAAAAGGGUCACAAUGGAGGUUUCAAUCCACCAAAAGAAAAUCUUUGGGAUCACAGGAGCUGUUCACUGUCAGAAUCAUCUCCAGGCAGUUUGAGGAGAUGAACUUCUAUGGUGAACUCACAGAAAUCCUGAGGAAGGCUGCCGCCAUCUCACUGGUACCAAGACAUGAUGAGGCUGUAUGAAGAGAACUACUUCACUUCCUUGAUGGCUCCUGUCUUCUGUCUGCAUCCAGGUUUGGUUGUCACAGUCCCAUUUUCCUUGCUGGAGAGGGUCACAGUUCCCAGAGGUAAGCCUCGGUAGCAAAGUACUUGUUUCUUUAAGAAAAGAUCUGGACCAAGCCUCCUCCUUUCCCUCUCUGCCUCCCUUUCUCCCGGCCCUAUGCUAACCUUAAGUGCAAGUCUAGUGCUGUAGAAAGGGGCUGGCUGGGAGGCUGGAGACCAGGGAUAGGUCAGGAGAAUCCACCAUGGCCCAGAGCUCCUUUCUGGAGAACUAACUGCCUUCAGUGUUUAGCAUCCACGGUUCUGAAUGUGCCAACAUGGAGAAAUGCAGCCCAGCAAGUAUGGAAGCAGAGAGGAAGAGAAAACAGACGCGGAAAUUCCUGUGUGUGUGUGUGUGUGUGUGUGUGUGUGUGUGUGUGUGUGUGUGUGUGUGUACCCAUGCUUCCAUCCUUUUCUCUGCCCUGAUGCCCCCAGGGAGGCAGCAGGUUGGCCAGUUGGGGCCCUCAGGGCAGGGAACUCACUGCUCCCCACCUCCACUUCUUCUCUCUAUCAAAUCACUCCAUCCCCACGUUUCUAUUUCAGGGGCUGACGUAGGCAGAGUUGUGGAGGAGGGAGCCAUUCCCUCCUAGACUUUAGGUUUUCCUUCCAGCUGCUUCUGCAUUUGUGGAGGAGGAAAGGCUAGGGCCGCCACGAUUCUAUCAGCUCCAUGAAGCCUCCCCGGUCAGUGUUUACCUUAACGAGAGGUCUCUUCUUGCUGAUUUCUGUUAGUUCAUUUUUUGUUCGUUCUCUUUCUUUCUCUCUCUCUCUCUCUCUCUCUCUCUCUCUCUCUCUCUCCAGUAGCAAGGAAAGUUUUGUAAGCAAAAAGGUUGCCAGGGAAUUUCUGGGUUGCAAAGUCUUGCAUUGAGAGGGGGAGGGGGCAUUACAGCUCAAACUUGGAAAGGAUGACUGACUGUAAUCUGACUAUAGAGACUGAGCGGCAGGCUGGGGUGCAGUGGCAGCUAAGCAGGCAAGUACCUCAGUUCCAGCCUUAGAACCCAUGUUUCAAAGAUCAAGAAACAAAACAAGACCAAACAAAACGCAAAAGGAGCCCUCAG